rnacentral:lncRNA from 1 species
CCCGCCCUGCAGCCUCCGCGGGGGACUGCACGCAGCUCGCCACCUCGGGGUAGGCGGCGGGGCGCCGGGGCGGAGGCUCGGGGCGGGCUGGGACCCCGCACGGACUUGGGGUGUUGCUGGGCUGGUUUUGUUGUGGUUGGGAUGUUUUUGGUUUUUUUUCUUCCCCUGCGGGGCGGGCGGGGGGCGACCUCGCCCAACGGCAUUUCCGCGGUUUACCUCUGGCUCUCGCUGGGGUGUCAAGACCGGCGCAGGUUGAACGAGGGCGCGGGGAGACCCCCGGUGUCCCGCUCCGGCCCCCUGGCGGGGCAGUGGCGCGGAGGGGCGGGGCGGGUGUGUGUAAAUGUUGCGCACUCGCUUUUCCCCCACCCCCGCCUGCUUCCAGGCAGCUGGCGUGGGUCCCUUGCCGUCCGGCGGCGACUGUAAAUAGAGCCUGGAUGUUGUUUACAUGAAGGAUCCGGCGGGAGGAGUCUGCGAGGAGGAGGCGGAGGAGGAGGAGGAGGGAGGGAGGAGAGAGGAAGACCGGAGUCCCCGCGGCGGCGGUCCGGGGCGAGGGUGAGCCCCGCGCGGCGCGGGCACUGGUCGCUACCACGAGGCCGGGACGCCGGACCCUGGGCUACCCGCAGGCCAGCUGCCACCUUCUUGGAGAAGGACCACACCUGUGCUUAUUCCUCGCUUUGGAGGAGAGGUGAGCUGAAAAACCGACCAGCUUUCCCAAAGCUGUUAACCAGCCCUCCUGUCCCAGAAUUGGCCAGAAAGUGCUGCUUUCACCUGCCGAUUGCGCUGGCCACAUCCAUCCCCCCACCCACCCUUGCAAGUUGUCUACAGAUGUAUCGGGAUUUUUUUCUUGCCUCUGGACCUGCAGCUCACAACCAGCAACUAACUGCUGGGUUUAGACAGAAAGAAGUGAUCUCCUUGGGUUUAGUGUGCGUUCUUCGUUCCCCAGUGGGUCUUACGAUGGAAUCUGCCACCUCUAUUCUUUCGCUAAGAGCUUAG